AUGCUGGGGAAGACUUUCUGGGUCUUCCUUACCCAGGAAGGUAAGGAAGCAGGAAAACCCGUGCACAGUCUGAGAACUCGCUGGCCGAGGCCCGUGAAGGAGCCACAAUUAGGCAGGAGAGGCAGGCAGAUCCAGGCUGAGACCGUCCUGGCGGGUCUUGGGGCUGGCUUACACCAGGCGGUGAGGAGUGGGCUCUGCCUGGUCCUGGCUCCUGGGUCCUGGCUCAUAUGCGCUUCCACCCACUCAGGGCCUGGAGGAAUGGCCUCAGAGCCCCCGCCAGCCGGGCUCAGGAAGGCAUUCCUAGCUCAGAGUACCCUCCUGGAGUCUACACUGGAGAGACUCCUGAGCGGGCCAAGCCACACACCGAGAUGAGCAGAGGCUGCAGUCCUCCCGCGUAGAUUCCACCCCUGCUCAGCACACCCACGGAGCUCCCACCUUGCCCACCUGGGAGGAACCACCCGCUCUGCCCCUGCUCAGGGAGAGGUGGCGGCCGCUGCUCUACCCCUUCCUUCCCUUCCUCUUCCACCUUCUCUGUCUUCUCAUCUGGGUGCUGGAACCCGUGUGUGAAACAGAGUCAGAAAGCCUCAGUCUCAAGGCAGAGUGGGGCUGCUCAUUUAA